UUUGUCUUCAAAAUAGGAAAUAAGAACUCUACAAUAGAUUAUAUAUUAUUUACAAAAAAAAUUAUUUUUCAAAUAUGAUUUAUAGAUUUUAUUUUGCCAAUAUCUGAGCUCUUUUGAGUGUUGGUGUGACUGUAUCAGUAUUUACAAUGUCGUGUAUAGCAGAAUUCUAAGAGGUUGAAAACUAUAUAGUUGGCUUAAAAGAAUUUUUAACUAUAAAAUACUGAGUUUGAAUGAUGACUUAAUACACAGUUGAAAGAAAAUGAUUUCUGUUGCUCUAGAAUUUCAAGAAGAAACCUGCCAAUACAGAUGCAUUGUAUGCUACAUGAAGCUGCGUGUAAUUGUUGAUUGUGACAUUUCGUUGUUGAAUUUGUAGUAAAUUGGCAUUGAUCUGGAGAUUUUCUGUGAAGUAAAAAAUAUGUAUAUUUUGAUUGUUGUUCCUGAAGUGUCUUAAUAUUGUUAACAUAUUCUGUGAUAUUGUAGCAGCUAGCGUAAACCCUUUAAUUAAGUGUCUUUUCAGCUGCAGUGAGAUGUUUCGCUGAGUAAUAACAUGUCUUAAAAAAGAAAUGUAUUAACAGUUUUAACAUGUUGCCAUUGACUAUUAAUUCGUAAACAAUUGUGCAUUUUAAUGUUAAGUUUUUAUCUGACUUGAGUCUUCAUUGUUUAUAAGGAUUGAAAGUAAAUUAUUCUGACAGAAAGAACUCAAUGUUGCAUCUGCAUACAGAAGUAAGAUUACAUGUCAAGAGUCUAUCAAAUUUCAUGUUUUAUUAAAGAUAUAAACAUGACAUAUAUAUAUAUUCAUACAUAUACCGGUAUGUACUUGUAUUUCAGUUGUUUAGAGCUGGUUACUCGUCAAAAGUUGAAUGAUGUAACAAGUUUACAUGUCAGAUGCGUAGAUGUUACUAUUUGUUACAGGUUUACAAGUCACAAUGUUACAUUUACCUUACAUCAUUAAGUGUAAUGGACAUGUAUUAUAAGUGUGACACUUAUGAUAAAUAAAUGUAUUCUUUCCUGUUUUAAGUAAACUGCGGUGUUUGAUUGGCACAUAAAUGGACAUUGUUACUUUAAAGCACUCUAAAAGUUCCUGUGUAUUGCUGUUUCAGCUGCUAUAGACUGUGGCUUACUUCUGUGAUUCAAGUCCCUUAUACCUUAUGUUGUUUUUUUCUCAAUUUAAAUAAUAAAUUUAUA
rnacentral:misc_RNA from 1 species